AUGGCUGGAACCCUGGCAGAGAGGAGCCUGGAGUGUCGAAAGAGGGGCAUCACAGAACAGAUGCAUCCUACAAACUGGAGGACUCCGAGCUUGGGGAAGAGACAGUUAAAGCUUCCCCGUGAGAGCGAGUUAUAUCAUGCAGCGCCAGUGCCAGGUCAGCAGUCUGGCUGGAGCUGGACCGGCUGGUGGCGCCAGGCAGUGCCAAGCACCCCUGGCAGCCCUGCAGAGGGUUCUCAAAUCCAGAUUUCAUUCUGCAGUCCCGGCAGUGCUUUGACGACUGCCUCACUAAAGGAAGCUAAAAGCUGUGCCGAUGCCUCCCAGACGAGCCUCGUUGGAAGCACAGAACCUUCACGACUCGGAGCCGCUGACACGGUGACAAAGGGAGCCCUGCUCAGAGAGGAUUAUUGGCAACUGGCACCACCCCCACGUCUGGAGGAGGGACGUUUCUAGGAUGACCCUCAGAGUGGAAAAAUAGCCGAGUGCUUUGGAGUCUUCUCAGAUCUGGAGGAGAACAGUUCCUGAGCUGCGCGGAGCAGUUCCGGAGCCCUGGCUGCCUUUCCCCGGGCCCAAGCCCCCAAGAAGAGAGUCCUUUUCAGGAGCAUGGGAGCAUGUUUUAAAAGGCUUUCUAUUGAAGCAAGGCCGUCAGCCAGCCGUGCGUGUCCGCAUUGUGGUGGUCCCAGAGCCUUAUGGACAAUCCCUUUGAAAGAAUAGGGUUGGGAAGAUUCUCAGGACAGAAGUGGCUAAUUUCCAUCCUUGGAGCUUUAUCUCACAAAGGAUAUUUGAUAGAAAGAAAAAAUGGAGUCUGUGGAAGCUUUGCUCCUAUUUCCAAAUGGGUUGACUCUGGAUGGAAAGGCAUAUUUUCACAUUUUUCCCAAUAGAGGAAAGCUUUUAGUGCCAAAAUCCUCAAAGGAGAAUGAACAUCACACAUCACACAUCACACAUGUAUGUGUAAGGGUAGAAUAAUAUGGUAAAAAAUCCAGUGAGUACAAGCACACAACGGACAUUCAGUGCAGGUUAAAUGGAUAAGUAAGAAAAAUUCAAAGUUGUUAUUGCUGUUUAUGAGACUGGUGAUUAUUAACAGAUGCAAAUGUAUACUCCCUUUUGUAAUCACAACAAUGUAAAAGUCUUAUCUGUAAUCAUUACCAUGGGGACACUUAAAUAUUUAGUCCUGGGGACAAAAUGGUUUGUAGGCAGGACGUCCUGUGUGUUUAUGUGCACAUAUAAAAUGCAGCCCUGGCCCCAGGACUGCAAGGCCUCUGACGGCAUCAUUUACAUUCAGGGGUGGUCCUGAUCAACAUGGCCCCAUAGAAUAAUAGAGGGAAUUUCAGAGAGUACAGUGUUAGAUAAUAAACGCUUUCCACAGACUCUGUUUAUAUGUGGAAAUUUGAAGUGCUGAGUGAAAAAGAAUAGUGAAAAUAAAGACAGGAAGUAUACACACAACAAACAAUUUUUCCUCUCUGCAAAUCAGAUUAUUCCCUUGCGCACCCUGCAACCCCCAUCUAUGAUGUCAAACUCAAUGGACGGUUGAACUAAUAGCUUGGGAGUCGCCAGGGUGACAGUGUGCGUGUCCAUGCUGUGCACCUUGAAUUAGGCUGGCCACCACGGCUGUGUACAGCUACCCCAGGAAGAGCCCCUCCCCUCCUCAUCGUUUCUGUGGAAAAUGUGCUGAUUGAGACCCGGCUACAGGAAUCACAUUUGGGCAGAAAGAAUGGUUUACCCUUUUCAUGAGGGGUCUUGACUCAAGAACACUUGCCAAUUCUGCUUGUCCAUUUCCCAUUCUUUACAGUUUUUCCUGUCACUCCUUAGAUUGAGAAAGAAAAAUCUAUAGGAAUGAUUCGGAGGGAUUUCUCUUUUGUUCGUAAAUAAACCCUAACCCUGGAUGAGCUCGUUCACACUAGGGAAGUUACCACCACUGGCUUUGAAGCCAGGCAGAUCUGGGUGUUCCUUCCCAUUUCUUUAUUUGCUUUGUGGGUGAUCUUUUCCCAGCUUUUCUGCUAUUUCAUCCUUGUUAGUGAGGGCUUCUUUAGCUGCAGAACAGGGGCGAUAAUGCCUACCUUGCUGGGUUGUAGUAGAGAAUGCUGUUUAUGCAGGAAAAUAAAAAAAAACACAUAGCACACAAUAGGAGCUUAAUACGUAAGAAUUAUACACAGUCUUUUGUGUAUAUAUCAAUGUAUUUCAUGUGCUUAAUAUUUAUUUAAAGCAAGUACAUUCUUUUGAAUUAAGCAUAAAAAGGUCAUAAAAUGCCAGAUAUGUGCUUAUUUGAAGUGUUUACGAAGCUUUGCAAUUGAUUUAAAAUAAGAUGAUAUAACAGGGUCUUAGCUCUGCCACUAAUUAGUUACACAAUCUUAGAUUAUGUCACUUCCCUGGGUCUCAGUUGUAAACAGUUGCUUCAUAAAUAAUUUUUGUUUUGCUGUCAUAAAUAAUCCAAAAUUAGGCAGUGAAAUAUGGAAGCUCCAUCGGUAGGGGCUUCUGUGAUGUUCAGGUCCUGGAGGGAAGUGUGAGCUGGCACCUCCACCUCCCUCCCUACCAGCGCCCUCCAGAAACACUGCUCACGGGAUGCAGGGGCGCUUCUCCUAUUUCUAUUUCACUUGGUCUAGAGGCCAGCCAGGCAGGAGUCGUCCUGUUCUUGGAUGCAAUGUGGCCCAGACCCAGGCUCCAGCAGCAGGUCUGACUGCAGCACUUUCUCCCUCGGGGUGGCUCCCAGUCCCUUGGAUUCCCAGUCAGGACUGCGGAGGGCCCAGUCUUCCUCACCACCAGGCCCCUCUCCUGGAAACUGUGAAAACCUUCCUCCAUUUCAGGCACUGGGAAUCAGCAUUAUUUGGCGUCUGCCUGGAUGUGUCACAGAUUUAUCCUGCAAAGUCUCUCCCCUCCUGACCUCAAAUGUUCCUGUCCCUACAACCAGACAGCAGGCCCCAGGGCCUCCAGGGCUCCUUCCAGUGCCUCCUUGUCAUCUUUUGAAUCAGAGCUCAUGAGGCCACCCGCACAGGCAGGCUGGAGAGGAAUGGCAAGAAGUUCACCGUCGGACAGUAGUGAGCAGAGCGACAGAGGCCCCCAGAGACUUCGCACAGCAGAAGAGGCCAACUCCCGCAUUUGCAGGGGACGUGAAAGAGCAAUACUGUGAGGAACAAAAGGAAGCCUCGUCUCUGGAAGCCGGGAGGAAAAACAGUCGGUGUAGACAACAGCGGCAGGGACCAGAGCUGACCAGAAGGCCGGGUCCCAGCAACAAUUACAGACAGGCAGCAGCUGAGGCCCCUUCCCUGAGAGCCAUUUCAAUUGCACAGUGGCCACAGAAGGCUGCAUUGGCCCGGCAGCCAGCUCUGCGAGCCAUUUGUCCACAAGGAAAAUAAUAGCCCCAGCCUCAUUGCUUUGGGCUGCAGGGAGGACAAUGACCCACCAUGAAAAGAGUUAAAAAGAUUCUGGGGAAGGGGAAAGGCAGGCCCACACGGUGGCAAUUCAAGAUCUUUUGGAUGCCGUGAGCGUGUUCUUUAAUUAAGCCCCUCUUCUUCAGCUCAUCCUGCAGAAACGCACCUGCUUCCCAUCUGCCAUCCAAAACGGCGAGCACAAGAAUGACUUCACACUGUCACUUUCAGAGUUCCGCUGUGGCCCACAGUGAUUUUUCAAGAAAGGCAGCCACAGACUCACUCGCUCUUUCUCUUUCUCCCUUGCUCUGAAAGAUUCUAUAAAAAUCGCAUUAAAAAGUGUGUGAGCCGAGCAAUUUCAUUUACCAAAGGAAGAAGGUCAUACAUAGCAUUCAUUCUAAGAAUAUCAGGCACACGGCCAGCCCUGGACACAAGGCAUGAAGACCAGAGGCCCCUUUAUUGACCUAAUCUCUAUUUUCUCACCCAAACUACAUCUGUGGCUGAAAGCUGGAACACACAAUAUUUCCCUCUACCAAAAUGAUUUUAUUUCCUGCAGCAGCAUGUAACAAACAAUUAAGGGUGGUGACAUGGGCUUCUGUCAUUUUCCGAACAACCCAGUUCUGUUUGGCGUUACUGCAGUGGUUGUUAUUUUAGGUGGUUCAGUGCUUAUUCCAUUCUGCCCGUUGGUCCCAUUCGCAUGGAUCUGCAGCAAGCAUGAGCCCAUGCCCUGUCUUCUACCACCCUGGAAAUCAUGUUACUGCCAGUACUGUGUUGGGGCCUUGCUUGAGGUCCUGUCCCCUGCCCUCUUCACAGAUGCUGCUGUGCCUUCAUGGAGAGGACUGAAUGGGCUGUUUCCCUCUCCCACCUGUGUCUGCUGUCUCCAAAACUAAAGGAGGCUGCAGUGAAACCAGCCUGGCCCAGGUUCCUCUGGUGCCUGUUGUGGCUCAAACUAUCCAAACUACAGUGGCUGAUUCCCAGCGACCCAUCCCUUUGUACCCUUGUGCCCCGUUGAAGAAGUGGCCUAUGUUAUGAAUAGGGAAGCUAAGGUCGUUAACAAUAUGUGCAGACGUACAAAGAAGGUGCAAGUCAGAGAUCCUUGUCUCAGCUACUUCUCUUGAAAAAUGACUCCAUGCCCUGAGAUGCUCUAAAUGGAACAAACAGUGUGAAGUGGUUCUCCCCCUCCAAGAAACUGCCCCCCGAGGUGUUCCCCCAUCAGACACCUGCUCCUCCAAGCCUGGUCUUCUCUCUGCAUCCACUUCCCUAUGCCUCCACCACCCACCGUGCUUGCCUCCUUGUCACACACAUGAUCUCUGGUCCUGCCUUGCACUUGGUGCUGGGGGCUGCGAUUCCCUCUGCCUCUGUCUCCUGACAUCAUCCCUGACAUCAUCUUUCACCGUGCACUGGUCUCGCUUCCUCAGGAGCUCUGUGGAUGGCCUUGUUCUCUGAUUAUUUGAUUAUUCCAUCAACCCAGGUGCUCAGCUUUCUGGCCCUAGGGCUGGAAAGGCCAGUCAUUUUUAUUACAUCAUUUUGAUUAUUCAGAUGAAAGAUUCGCAGGCACAGAUUUGUUUCACGCCCCAAGAGAGAUACACAAUCUCGUGACUUUUGAAAAAUCUAUUCUUCUAAAAG
ensembl:lncRNA